rnacentral:lncRNA from 1 species
AUGAAUCCAGAUAAUAAAAGGGUCUUCCUUUCUUUGAGGGCUUCCUUCAAAAACCUUGGCCUGCGAUGGCCUGGAUUGCAGGAGUCCUAUGAUGUUGGCUAGUCGGUGUAAUUGUCGGGCUUUUCCCUUAAUCCAUUUAUGCCUGAGGUUGCAAUUUUUUGAAUUUUUGCAAUUAGACCUUGGCGAUGACCUUGAGCAGUAGGAUAUAAAUAACUCCCUUGUGUUUAGCAUUCCAGUAAUGGAACACUAGCCAUAAUAAACCGUUCCAAAAAUGCGUUCUAAUGGCUCUCAAGCAAGGUCCACUUGCAGUGAAAUAAACCAGAGGUUUGAAUCAUGGCUUGAUACGAAAUUAUUGGAAAGAAUAUGGCGAUGACAUCCACAAUGCCGGAUAAAGAAAAUAUUUAGAAGAUGAGAUUCCUGUGUUUCUGGCUUUCAUAACUUUUUAGAUUUCCUUUCUACUGGAAAACUUUUAACUUUGAAAACCGCAAGUAAUAUUUUUCUUCCUGAAACCUCUGCAGUGGUAGCAAUGCACUGAAGUUUGAUUAAAAGUUUACUGGUCAUUCCUGCCAUGAGAAGAUGAUAGAGAAUAUCACCACAGUGUGACUUGCUUCCAAGGCAGCAUGGUUUCAUGCAGAGGAUCUAAACUGGGGACCAUGUGCUGGGCUGCAAAAGGGCUGUGCAGUGCCUAAAAUGUUAUGCAAAAUUUUAUAAAGUUGGUGUUGUUUUCUUCAGUCAAGAGGUCCACAGAGCUGUCUUUCAUUCUGUAGGUUUAUCAGCAACUGAUGCUUAAAACCUAUUAGGCACUGCAAAAAAAGAGUGCACACCUUCUACUUAUUAAAAAAAAAAACAAACUGUAAAACAGCAUCAUGCAGGUUCUUCAGGAGAGAUUCCAGAGGAAGGCAUUGUUGUGGUAGAAGAUGACAGUUCCACAGGUGUUACUAGCCAUGAAGAUCUUCCAGUGAGACAAGAUGUGGAGGUGGAAGACAGUGAUAUUGAUGAUUCUGAUCCUGUUGUUAUAAAUAAAGUUUCGGUUCCACAAAAG